CCUACGGGAGACAGCAGUGGGGAAUAUUGGGCAAUGGGCGCAAGCCUGACCCAGCAACGCCGCGUGAAGGAAGAAGGCCCUCGGGUUGUAAACUUCUGUUAACAGGGACGAAGAAAGUGACGGGACCGGGUGAAUAAGCCACGGCUAACUACGGGCCAGCAGCCGCGGUAAUACGUAGGUGGCAAGCGUUAUCCGGAUUUACGGGGUGUAAAGGGCGGGUAGGCGGGAGAGCAAGUCAGACGUGAAAUUCCAGGGCUCAACCCUGGAACUGCGUGGGAAACUGUUCUUCUUGAGUGCUGGAGUGGCAGGCGGAAUUCCGUGUGUAGCGGUGAAAUGCGUAGAUAUCCGGAGGAACACCAGUGGCGAAGGCGGCCUGCUGGACAUUAACUGACGCUGAGGCGCGAAAGCGUGGGUAGCAAACAGGAUUAGAUACCCGAGUAGUC
rnacentral:rRNA from 1 species